UACAGAGGGGGCAAGCGUUGUUCGGAAUUAUUGGGCGUAAAGGGCGCGUAGGCGGCCAUGCGUGUCUUCCGUGAAAUCCCUCGGCUUAACUGAGGACGUGCGGAAGAAACUGCAAGGCUCGAGUCCGGGAGAGGGGGGUGGAAUUCCCAGUGUAGCGGUGAAAUGCGUAGAUAUUGGGAGGAACACCGGUGGCGAAGGCGGCCCCCUGGACCGGUACUGACGCUGAGGCGCGAAAGCGUGGGUAGCAAACGGG
rnacentral:rRNA from 1 species